rnacentral:rRNA from 1 species
CAGCACCUCAAGUGGUCAGGAUGAUUAUUGGGCCUAAAGCAUCCGUAGCCGGCUCUGUAAGUUUUCGGUUAAAUCUGUACGCUCAACGUACAGGCUGCCGGGAGUACUGCAGAGCUAGGGAGUGGGAGAGGUAGACGGUACUCGGUAGGAAGGGGUAAAAUCCUUUGAUCUAUUGAUGACCACCUGUGGCGAAGGCGGUCUACCAGAACACGUCCGACGGUGAGGGAUGAAAGCUGGGGGAGCAAACCGGAUUAGAUACCCGAGUAGUCC